UUAACAAAUAAACAGACAUCACCAGAACAAAAUAUUCCAUUACCGUUUAGUAGUAAUGAUUUUAUGAAUUUCUUCACUGAGAAAAUCGAAAGAAUCAGAAAUACAAUUGUAAAUGUACAAACGACCCCGUUUUAAAAUUAAGCGCCCUCUAGCGGUCCUAUAAAUAACUACAGGCUCGUUUGUUGGGUGUGUCAUUAAAUGACCUUUGACUGUCGUUACCAAUGAAAAAUGCGAUCGAUGAGAGGAAGGAGUGACCCAACAUUGCACUGAACGUCCUAGUCCAGAGAAUCUCCCAGUGCUGAUCUUGAAGAAGCUGCCAGGGAGGCUGAACAAGUCCUUCAAAGGUUCAACCUUUCACAGCUGAAAAUGAAGACCAAAUGAAGGGCUGUCAAAGUCUUGUUGAACCUGUCUUGUUUGUGGAGAGGGAUGAAUUUGGCCAUCUUGUGCAUUUACGGAGAAGACAAAAAGCUGCGAAGGCAAACAUUUCCAGUGGAUUUCUCACGGAUUCCUUCUCCAUCAGCUUGUGAAUAAAGAGCCAACCCUUCCAAAAGCUUCUACAUCUCUCUCCCUCUCGUAUGGCACAUCUGCUCUCAGCCCUUCUACACUCUUACUGCCAACUUCCACUCUUAAAUACAAGCCUGUCUACUUGUAUUAAUUUCUCCUCUACAGUGAGCACAUCUCUACUGUGAGCAGUCCUGUCACUACCACCAUCCCUCCCCCUGUAUUCUACAUGCCAACACAGAGGAAGACGGGAAAUAAUAAAAAUGAUAAAUUUUUUUGUAAUGUUAUUGUAUUGCUCCUUGGAUGUCGUCAUGGAGGAGUGGAAGAGGACUCCAGUGGCAACCUGUGAAACUCUGGUGAACUCCAUGCCCAAGAGGGUUAAGGCAGUGCUGAAAAAUAAUGGUGGCCACACAAAAUAUUGACACUUUGAGCCCAAUUUGGACAUUUUCACUUAGGGGUGUACUCACUUUUGUGGCCAGCAGUUUAGACAUGAAUGGCUGUGUGUUGAGUUAUUUUGAGGGGACAGCAAAUUUACACUGUUAUACAAGCUGUACACUCACUAC